AAUGUUCACUCUGGGGGAAGCCAGCUGCCAUGCCGUAAGGACACUCAGGCAGUCCUAUGAAGAGGCCCAUGAGGUGAGAAAGUGAGGCCUUCAGCCAACAGCCAUGUGAGGAAACAGCCUGUCAUCCCAGCUGAGGCCAUCCUAGAUCAGCCAACUGUCAGCUGCUUGUGUGUGAGUGAACCCCAGCCAAGACCAGAAGACCCGCACAGCUGAGCUCAGCCAAGAUCAGCAAAACCUCUCAGCUUAUAAUCAUAUAAACUUAACAGUUUAGGUGUGGUUGUGACACAGAUUUAUUGUAUUAUUGUAUGCAUGUAUGCAUUGUAAGCAUUAUAUAUUACACAUGGGAAUCAUAGAAACAGUGAAAAGUCAGUAAUUUCUGGAGUAUAUAUUGAAGUUAGAGCAAAUUGUGUGAGGUAGAGAAGCCACAUACUCCAAAUUUCUGGUCUGAGAGAUUGGAAGAAUGAAUAUGGAUGAUGGAGGCAGACAUUGAAUCUGAAACAAAUUUUUCAUUUUGUGAAAUUUUGUGAAAUUUCAUUUUGUGUUGAAUAUCUUGUGACUCACUGAAAUGAAAAUUGUAAAAUAAAAUUUGUCCCUAAUGCAUAAAAUUUUA